rnacentral:rRNA from 1 species
GAUGAACGCUGGCGGCGUGCCUAAUACAUGCAAGUCGAGCGAACAGACGAGGAGCUUGCUCCUCUGACGUUAGCGGCGGACGGGUGAGUAACACGUGGAUAACCUACCUAUAAGACUGGGAUAACUUCGGGAAACAGGAGAUACUACCGGAUAAUAUAUUGAACCGCAUGGUUCAAUAGUGAAAGACGGUUUUGCUGUCACUUAUAGAUGGAUCCGGGUCGCAUUAGCUAGUUGGUAAGGUAACGGCUUACCAAGGCAACGAUGCGUAGCUGAUCUGAGAGGGUGAUCGGCCACACUGGAACUGAGACACGGUCCAGACUCCUACGGGAGGCAGCAGUAGGGAAUCUUCCGCAAUGGGCGAAAGCCUGACCGAGCAACGCCGCGUGAGUGAUGAAGGUCUUCGGAUUGUAAAACUCUGUUAUUAGGAAAGAACAAAUGUGGAAGUAACUAUGCACGUCUUGACGGUACCUAAACAGAAAGCCACGGCUAACUACGUG